AAUCAUUGCAACGGCUAUCUUAGAA
rnacentral:sRNA from 1 species